CUGACCGUAAACGAUGCCAACUAUCAAUCCGCCAGCAGCUCUCCGUUGCUGGCGGGCGGAUCGACGGAAACGAAAGUCUUUCGGUUCCGGGGGAAGUAUGGUUGCAAAGCUGAAACUUAAAGGAAUUGACGGAAGGGCACCACCAGGAGUGGAGCUUGCGGCUUAAUUUGACUCAACACGGGAAACCUCACCCGGCCAGUACAUCAUAAGGAUUGACAGAUUGAUAGCUCUUUCAUGAUUUGAUGAAUGGUGGUGCAUGGCCGUUCUUAGUUCGUGGCGUGAGUCGUCUGCUUAAUUGCGAUAACGAGCGAGACUCCGACUGUUAAAUAGCACCUUCCUUACUCAGGGUCGGCGGCUUCUUAACUGGAUUCGCGGCUUCAAGCCGCAAGAAAUGGAGCAAUAACAGGUCUGUGAUGCCCUUAGAUGUUCGGGGCCGCACGCGUGCUACAAUGAUGGUAACAGCGUGAUUGUCCUCGCCCGACAGGGCUUGGCAAACAGUUGAGAUAUUAUUAUGGCUGGAAUUGAGUGUUGAAAUUUUCUCUCAUGAACGAGGAAUUCCAAGUAAAUGCGAGUCAUCAACUCGCAUUG
rnacentral:rRNA from 1 species